rnacentral:lncRNA from 1 species
GAAACCAAGUGGUAUUUUUCCCCUUUUCCGCAUGUGCAGUAAUACUGCUGCUGCCCAGCCAUGCCAAGCCGGCAGCUUCCAUGCAGAAAAUGCAUAAUGAGCCCGGUGUUCGUGGGCAGCUCUGCAUCAGCUUGGGGUUUCCAGCAGCACUUCUGAAAUAUGUGCAGCCUGUUCAUUCGGCGCCUACACAGUCCAGCAAGCAGCGAGGGCAAGGAGGAACAGGGGCCCGGAACAGCCGGUCGCCGCUGCGAAUAGAACAACUCAUCCAUCCUGCAGCCUGUCGCCGAGCCGAGCUAUCCCAGAGGUCGCGCAUCUCUGCCAUGGAGCGUGACGAGGAUAUUAAUCCUGCAGAUCAGUGCCAAAGAGAAAAUGCUUUGCAGGAAGUAACCUGUUCUCGUUCCUUUGGCUUGCGGAAUAGAUGUCGCAGCAGGCUCUUAAUAAAUGGUGGAAUAGGAAGGAGACAGAAAUUUUAA